rnacentral:rRNA from 1 species
UGGCGGACGGGUGAGUAACGCGUGAGGAUCUGCCCAUAGGACGGGGAUAACACUGGGAAACUGGUGCUAAUACCGGAUGAGCCGAGAGGUAAAAUAUUUUAUAGCCUGUGGAUGAGCUCGCGUCUGAUUAGCUAGUUGGUGGGGUAAAAGCUUACCAAGGCGACGAUCAGUAGCUGUUCUGAGAGGAUGAUCAGCCACACUGGGACUGAGACACGGCCCAGACUCCUACGGGAGGCAGCAGUGGGGAAUUUUCCGCAAUGGGGGGAACCCUGACGGAGCAACGCCGCGUGCGGGAGGACGGUUUGUGGACUGUAAACCGCUUUUAAUAGGGAAGAAUAGAUGACGGUACCUAUUGAAUCAGAAUCGGCUAACUCCGUGCCAGCAGCCGCGGUAAU